rnacentral:tRNA from 1 species
GCCCAGGUGACGGAAUCGGUAGACGUAGCGGGCUUAAAACUCGCAGCCGAAAGGCGUGCGGGUUCGAGUCCCGCCCUGGGCACCA